UACGUAGGGUGCAAGCGUUGUCCGGAAUUAUUGGGCGUAAAGCGCACGUAGGCGGAUCGAUCAGUCAGGGGUGAAAUCCCAGGGCUCAACCCUGGAACUGCCUUUGAUACUGUCGAUCUGGAGUAUGGAAGAGGUGAGUGGAAUUCCGAGUGUAGAGGUGAAAUUCGUAGAUAUUCGGAGGAACACCAGUGGCGAAGGCGGCUCACUGGUCCAUUACUGACGCUGAGGUGCGAAAGCGUGGGGAGCAAACAGGG
rnacentral:rRNA from 1 species